AGAAUGACUCUCGGCAACGGAUAUCUAGGCUCUUGCAUCGAUGAAGAACGUAGCGAAAUGCGAUACUUGGUGUGAAUUGCAGAAUCCCGUGAACCAUCGAGUCUUUGAACGCAAGUUGCGCCCGAAGCCAUUAGGCUGAGGGCACGUCUGCCUGGGUGUCACAG
rnacentral:rRNA from 2 species